rnacentral:rRNA from 1 species
CACGUAGGGGGCGAGCGUUGUCCGGAUUCAUUGGGCGUAAAGGGCGCGCAGGCGGCCCGGAAAGUCGGAUGUGAAAACUCGAGACUCAACCUCGAGCGUGCACCCGAUACUGCCGGGCUUGAGGCAGGUAGGGGAGAUCGGAAUUCCUGGUGUAGCGGUGAAAUGCGCAGAUAUCAGGAGGAACACCGGUGGCGAAGGCGGAUCUCUGGGCCUGUCCUGACGCUGAGGCGCGAAAGCUAGGGGAGCGAACAGG